GGGCGCGUAGCUCAGUUGGUAGAGCAGCUGACUCUUAAUCAGCGGGCCCAGAGUUCGAGUCUCUGCGCGCCCACCA
rnacentral:tRNA from 1 species